UGUUUGCUUUAUUUGUCUAGCACUCUAGCAAUAGCCGCCUACUAAAGAAAGCUAAUCAAAUACAGUAUAUUCCUAUUUCCUAAUCUAUAAUAACCCAAUUCUCUAGAAAGUACUGACAACCCAAAGUUCCAAACCCUUUCCUUCUUUUAUGAUGUUUUCAAUACUUAUCAACACAAUUGAUAAAUAUUUUCAUUUUUUUUUCAAGGUUGCAAUUCAAUUCCAACUUCCAAUUGAUAAAUCAGGCGACAAGACGUUAUGAAAGAUUCAAAGUCAAUAAAUUACUCGGUUAAAAAUAUAGAGUACUUUUUUGCCUUCGAUCAACAGGAAACUAAAGAGCUGAGGAUCUCAACUGGCUUAUGGAGAGAACUCUAAGCCUGAACUGAUAUGUACUCGAUUCACUCGAAAAGUCGAAAUUGACCCACUUAUCAUAUACAAAGUAUAUUUAAUUAUAAAAUUAUAUUCGAAAAAUUUUGGGUGAGACGGACUCACCGUGAGUCCGCCGCCCAAAUACAAUCACCGUGACUCAUCGGAAGAAAGAUCGAAGCAUACAGAAGCAGGAUCGAAGAAGACGAUCCAAAUGAUGAUGAUGAAGGUGCCGCGAAGAAGACGAUUCAGAUGAUGAUGAUGAAGGUUCCGCCAUUGACAUAGGAAGAUCAAAGCAUAUAGAAGUAGGAUCGAAAAAGAAGAUCCAGAUGAUGAUGACGAAGGUGCCGCGAAGAAGACGAUCCAAAUGAUGAUGAUGAAGGUGCCGCCAUUGACAUAAGCAUGGUGAGUGAUUCUUUGGCCAUCGAAAAUUCCGCCAUUGAUGCAGCACCUUCAUCUUGAGGAGAGAGAAAGAGGAGAUGCGUUUAUUGAGGAGAAGGUUGAGUAGAGAGAAAAUCAGAAGAGAAUGUGGGGGAAAUAAGCCCUAAAAAUAUUAAUGUCAGGUAUUAGAUUAUUAUUGUUUGGUAUAGAUUAUUAUUGUCAAGUAUAAAAUUAUUGUUGUUUGGUAUUAGAUUAUUAUUGUUUGGUAUUAGAUUAUUAUUGUCAGAUAUUAGAAUAUCAUUGUCAGAUAUUAGAAUAUCAUUGUCAGACAUAUUGGACUCACGAUAAGUUCGGUCUCACGCAAAACCUUCUCAAUUAUAUUAUUGCAAUUUACCUUAUUUUUCUUUUA